GCCUACGGGACGCAGCAGUGAGGAAUAUUGGUCAAUGGGCGAGAGCCUGAACCAGCCAAGUCGCGUGAGGGAAGAUGGCCCUACGGGUUGUAAACCUCUUUUGUCAGGGAGCAAGAACAGAUACGUGUAUCUGAGCGAGAGUACCUGAAGAAAAAGCAUCGGCUAACUCCGUGCCAGCAGCCGCGGUAAUACGGAGGAUGCGAGCGUUAUCUGGAUUUAUUGGGUUUAAAGGGUGCGUAGGCGGGCUGCCAAGUCAGCGGUAAAAUUGCGGGGCUCAACCCCGUCGAGCCGUUGAAACUGGCGGG
rnacentral:rRNA from 1 species